rnacentral:rRNA from 1 species
UACGAAGGGUGCGAGCGUUAAUCGGAAUUACUGGGCGUAAAGAGCACGUAGGCGGUUUGAUAAGCGGAAUGUGAAAUCCCCAGGCUUAACCUGGGAACUGCGUGUGAUACUGGAUGGCUUGAAUUCGGGAGAGGGAUGCAGAAUUCCAGGUGUAGCGGUGAAAUGCGUAGAUAUCUGGAGGAAUACCGGUGGCGAAGGCGGCAUCCUGGACCGACAUUGACGCUGAACGGCGAAAGCUAGGGGAGCAAACGGG